rnacentral:rRNA from 1 species
UACGUAGGGUCCGAGCGUUGUCCGGAAUUAUUGGGCGUAAAGGGCGCGUAGGCGGUUGGAUAAGUCUUGUGUGAAAUCUUCGGGCUCAACUCGAAGUCUGCACGAGAAACUAUCUGGCUUGAGUGUGGGAGAGGUGAGUGGAAUUCCUGGUGUAGCGGUGAGAUGCGUAGAUAUCAGGAGGAACACCUGUGGCGAAAGCGGCUCACUGGACCACAACUGACGCUGAGGCGCGAAAGCUAGGGGAGCAAACAGG